GAUGAACGCUGGCGGCGUGCCUAAUACAUGCAAGUCGAGCGAACAGACGAGGAGCUUGCUCCUCUGACGUUAGCGGCGGACGGGUGAGUAACACGUGGAUAACCUACCUAUAAGACUGGGAUAACUUCGGGAAACCGGAGCUAAUACCGGAUAAUAUAUUGAACCGCAUGGUUCAAUAGUGAAAGACGGUCUUGCUGUCACUUAUAGAUGGAUCCGCGCUGCAUUAGCUAGUUGGUAAGGUAACGGCUUACCAAGGCAACGAUGCGUAGCCGACCUGAGAGGGUGAUCGGCCACACUGGAACUGAGACACGGUCCAGACUCCUACGGGAGGCAGCAGUAGGGAAUCUUCCGCAAUGGGCGAAAGCUUGACGGAGCAACGCCGCGUGAGUGAUGAAGGUCUUCGGAUCGUAAAACUCUGUUAUUAGGGAAGAACAAAUGUGUAAGUAACUAUGCACGUCUUGACGGUACCUAAUCAGAAAGCCACGGCUAACUACGUG
rnacentral:rRNA from 1 species